rnacentral:rRNA from 1 species
AGCAGCCGCGGUAAUUCCAGCUCCAAUAGCGUAUAUUAAAGUUGCUGCAGUUAAAAAGCUCGUAGUUGAAUUUCGGGAUCAACUAACUGGUCGUGCCUAUGGUACGUACUGGUUUUGUUGGUUUCUCCCUCUGAGGAGCCGCGAUGUCAUUAAUUUGGUGUCGUGGGGAAUCAGACUGUUACUUUGAAAAAUUAGAGUGUUUAAAGCAGGCUAACGCUUGAAUACAUUAGCAUGGAAUAAUGAAAUAGGACGUUUGACCCUAUUUUGUUGGUUUCUAGGAUCGACGUAAUGAUUAAUAGGGAUAGUUGGGGGCAUUAGUAUUCAAUUGUCAGAGGUGAAAUUCUUGGAUUUAUUGAAGACUAACUACUGCGAAAGCAUUUGCCAAGGAUGUU